rnacentral:rRNA from 1 species
UGCCAGCCGCCGCGGUAAGACGGAGGGUGCUAGCGUUAUUCGGAAUGACUGGGCGUAAAGGGCGUGUAGGCGGUUAUAUAAGUUAGACGUGAAAGCCCCGGGCUUAACCUGGGAACAGCGUUUAAUACUGUAUGACUAGAGACCGAGAGAGGAAAGCGGAAUUCCUAGUGUAGAGGUGAAAUUCGUAGAUAUUAGGAGGAACACCAGAGGCGAAGGCGGCUUUCUGGACCGAUACUGACGCUGAGACGCGAAAGCGUGGGGAGCAAACAGGAUUAGAUA